CCUACGGGAGGCAGCAGUGAGGAAUAUUGGUCAAUGGACGCAAGCCUGAACCAGCCAUGCCGCGUGCAGGAAGACGGCUCUAUGAGUUGUAAACUGCUUUUGCAGGGGGGUAAAUAGCGAUACGUGUAUCGGGUUGAGAGUAUCCUACGAAUAAGCAUCGGCGAACUCCGUGCCAGCAGCCGCGGUAAUACGGAGGAUUCAAGCGUUAUCCGGAUUUAUUGGGUUUAAAGGGUGCGUAGGCGGUGAGAUAAGUUAGAGGUGAAAUCCCGGGGCUCAACUCCGGCACUGCCUUUGAUACUGUCUGGCUAGAGUGUAGGAGAGGUAGGCGGAAUGUAUGGUGUAGCGGUGAAAUGCAUAGAGAUCAGACAGAACACCGAUUGCGAAGGCAGCGUACCGGACUACAACUGACGUUGAGGCACGAAAGCGUGGGGAGCAAACAGGAUUAGAUACCCUUGUAGUC
rnacentral:rRNA from 1 species